rnacentral:tRNA from 1 species
AAAACUUUAAGUUAUGAAAACCAGAACCUUCCAAGUUCUAAAAAAAACCAUAGGUUUUAAGUUUUA